UAUAUCAUAGUAAAAAAAUAUUAUUUUUAACAUUCAUCAAACAUCUUAAAAAAUCAAACGUAGAUUUGGAGUAACCGUUGUUGAGACUUCGGAGUUUGGAGUAACCGGUCUUUGUAAGGCGCCGCCGUUCCACUUGUACCACGCACCUUUGUGUGCGCGUGCUCUUUUUUCGCGGUCUGGCUUAUUUGUUUGAAAUGAAUUGGCCUUCAACUUCGAGAGGAAUCAUCGAAGCGUGCCGUGUAUGAUCAGCCCCACCGAUCCGAGCUAGCUCUCCAAUUCCUUCCAGGUACUACCCCAAAAACUGUUGCAAUCAAGGAAUGGUGGGAAGAAACUGACAGGAAAUUCCAGGCAUGGCCUCGAGCUGCUGGUCCACCCGUGGUCAUGAAUCCUAUCAGUCGACAGAAUUUCAUUGUCAAGUCCCGCACUGAGUCUCGAAGGUCCCAUCUUACACUUAAUUAGUUUAGAUCAUAAUGGCUUUCACGACCUUUCAUUAGUGUACUUUUUUUCUGUAAUGGGUGUGUUUAAUGCAGCUGUGAGCCUUACUAUAUCUGUAUAGAAUGUGAGGAAACUGUAUAUCAUCGCGUGUGUAUAUAUAUAUGAUUGUCUUUGAUGUACAACACUUAAUCCAAGUGGUAGCUCAUUCAUUCCUUAA